rnacentral:rRNA from 1 species
GACAGAGGAUGCAAGCGUUAUCAGGAAUGAUUGGGCGUAAAGCAUCUAUAUGUGGCUUUUCAAGUCCGCCGUCAAAUCCCAGGGCUCAACCCUGGACAUGCGGUGGAAACUACCAAGCUGGAGUACGGUAGGGGCAGAGGGAAUUUCCGGUGGAGCAGUGAAAUGCAUUGAGAUCGGAAAGAACACCAACGGCGAAAGCACUCCGCUGGGCCGACACUGACACUGAGAGACGAAAGCUAGGAGAGCAAAU